AGCUAAUUGACACUUGUACCACACUUUUGCUUUAUCAAACCACGUUUACUUCACAACUUCAGACAUACUAUAACUCUUCGCUCCUCCGAUUCUCUCUACUCGGCUGCUCUCUCCGAUUUUCUUUUUUGCUUCGCUAUUUCAAGGUGGUCAUUUAUUGGUUAUAUCUUUAGGAAACACAUGGCACCGAGAUUCAACAUCGACCGAAUAACAAUUGACACACCAAAUUGGACUUGCAAAGUCCAAAUAGUGGACAUGAGUCGCAAGCGAGAAAGCCCUGAGAGGAAAAUCAGAUUUUUUGGAAGAUGAAGAGGCUGCAAACAGAAAACGCGCACGAAAGGAACAAGGGAAUUUGAAUGCAAGAAGUGUAAUGACAGACAAUAUGAGUGCCUCGGUAUUAUGUUUUCGCCAUUCAUAUAAAUUUCAUUUCUGCAGAAUAUAGCAUAUGUGUGCAAGUAUUAAACUCGCUAUGGUUUCAGGUGUACCGUCCAAGUUUAUCUUAUUGAUGGUAAUGGCUUGCUAACAACAUUUAUUUCUAGUGAUCCAGUUGAAAAAAUGCUCUUCAUGAGAGCAGAAUAUAUAUUUGACACGACUAACGUCAAGGUUGCCCCUUAUUUAUAUGUAUUAGUAUACUUUAUAUAUGUUUUUAGUUUCCUAUUUCUGCCAAAGUUGUGCAGCCACAAUAAAUCAUUUUAGCAUGCAAAACACCAUAUGUAUAAACAUUAAUAUUAGCUUCAUCUUUAUGAGAUAUUUUAUCAAAAUCUAAGAAAUGACUCUUUCCGUUUUCAGAACUAGCUCCUGCCAACAUAAAAUGUUGUCGGACAGACAGUUCUGAAUUCAACUCCGCCUGUGUGAGCUCGCUCACAUUGCCGGUCCCAAGCCCGGAUAAAGGAGGAGGGUUGCUGAGGGUCAAUCGGAAACAGCCUCCCUACCCAGGUAGGGGUAAGGCUGCGUACAUCUUACCCUCCCCAGACCCCACUAUUGUGGGAUUACACUGGGUAGUGACCAAGACCAAGACAGUUCUGAAUUCAAUUAAGAAAGUCAUCCUGGAGAAGCUCUAACGACGCACAGACAGUUGUAUCAAUUAUGUCCUACGUUGAAGGGGAACCGAUCUUUCCACCUAGCAUGAAUGAGAGGAAUAGUAAAAAAGUCGAGCCGCUAAGCAUAAGUGAGGUAGACAUGGAAGAAGCAGUUAUUGCAUCUGAAUCUUCAAAAUAAGGGCUGAAAUUUCAACCACCCACACCAACACAAAAGUUGUAAAAGGGAGUAUCUUCCUUUUUUUUGUGAAUUUUGCUUAUCGGAAAAGAGAAGUUUUUUGGAUUCUCUGCAACUUCGCUCAGUAGGGUGGAACAAUCAUUGAAAACUAAGGAGGAUGAAGUAAAUGAUAUGCAGGUUAUUCAGCUUUUUUGCGGUCUCAAUGUUCCACAUUUACAAGUAGACAGGGAGGCGAGCUUGAUCCAGAUUCUUAGGAGCUGACAGCGGACUGAAAGCACUCCAUUGUUCGGAGGUGCUUAUGACUAUUCCUUUGGUGUAUAUACAUUUUGGGCCCGACGGAGUCUUGUUCCGUCUAUAUGUACAAUAUGUCAGUAGAGGCUCGUAGAUGCGCAGUGUGGGUAGUAUGGUCUCACAUUUUUCAUGUAUAUGUGUACUUAUUAUUUUGAUAUACCAAAGAUAUAUAUAUAUAUAUAUAUAUAUA